UACGUAGGGUGCGAGCGUUACUCGGAAUUACUGGGCGUAAAGUGUGCGCAGGCGGCCGAGCAAGUCGAGUGUGAAAGCCCCGAGCUUAACUUGGGAACUGCGCUCGAAACUACUUGGCUAGAGUGUGGCAGAGGGAGGUGGAAUUCCACGUGUAGCGGUGAAAUGCGUAGAGAUCGGGAGGAACACCAGAGGCGAAGGCGGCGACCUGGACAAGUACUGACACUCAACUACGAAAGCGUGGGGAGCAAACAGG
rnacentral:rRNA from 1 species